GACGAACGCUGGCGGCGUGCUUAACACAUGCAAGUCGAACGAAGAGCGAUGGAAGCUUGCUUCUAUCAAUCUUAGUGGCGAACGGGUGAGUAACGCGUAAUCAACCUGCCCUUCAGAGGGGGACAACAGUUGGAAACGGCUGCUAAUACCGCAUACGAUCUAAUCUCGGCAUCGAGGAUAGAUGAAAGGUGGCCUCUACAUGUAAGCUAUCACUGAAGGAGGGGAUUGCGUCUGAUUAGCUAGUUGGAGGGGUAACGGCCCACCAAGGCGAUGAUCAGUAGCCGGUCUGAGAGGAUGAACGGCCACAUUGGGACUGAGACACGGCCCAGACUCCUACGGGAGGCAGCAGUGGGGAAUCUUCCGCAAUGGACGAAAGUCUGACGGAGCAACGCCGCGUGAGUGAUGACGGCCUUCGGGUUGUAAAGCUCUGUUAAUCGGGACGAAAGGCCUUCUUGCGAAUAGUGAGAAGGAUUGACGGUACCGGAAUAGAAAGCCACGGCUAACUACGUG
rnacentral:rRNA from 1 species